GCUUCCGUAGCUCAGUUGGUUAGAGCGUCGUACUAAUACUCCAUCCGGGUAUCCGGUGAUGCGAAGGUCUCAGGUUCAAGCCCUGGCGGGAGCA
rnacentral:tRNA from 1 species